GAGAGAGAGACACAUGGACACGAAGGAGCUCAGGUGAUGAUCUGCAGCGGAGACGAACCGGGAUCAUGAGGGUUUAACGCGAGGAGGAGACGGGAGAGAGAAGGGCUGGAGCUGUGGCUGGGAGCGGAGACAGGAUGUUUUCUGAUCUCAUGUGUCUUGAUGAUUCGGAGGAGGGCAGCGAGCGAUUAGUGUCCUAAAAACGUGAGGCCGCCCGAUGCCGACCUCAGCGCUUCUGACAUCUGAACCCACGGGACCCGAGGAAGACGAGGAGGAUGCUGCAGUGACAGAACAGAAGGAGCUGGGUUUGCAGAGAUCG